ACAAAUGCAAUGACAGGGAAGAGUAAAUAAUUAUGGAGUUUUAGAGAAAAGAUGGCUGGUGAAAAUCUUUACAACAUAAUUAUUGAAGGUAGCCUUCGAGCAGUGAAUCGAACAAGGAAACUUAAGUAGACUUCAACGUAUUUCCUACGUUAUCAGGAUAGUGUAUCGAGUAUUUAACUCCGUACAUGAAGCAAGAGCCAAAGAAAUUUGGAAAUUAGGUGGUACCACGGAUAAUCUAUUCGCCCUAGCA
rnacentral:ncRNA from 1 species